CUUAAAGCAAGCACAAGUCCUGUACAAGUCAAGUCCAGCAUAUCUAGGCCAAAGCCUGAAAGUCUGCAGCCACAUCAAAUCUGCAAGAGUUGAUGGUAUCAAGGAGUUAAGACCAUUCACUUUCUGCUCACUGCUGCCAACUCUGAUAGACAGCAUUGCUGUAGUAAUUCAUCUGGAAUCCCAUGGAAUCUUCUAGAAUAUAGGGCCCAACCGGACCGGCGAGACUGGGAAAGAAAAUUGUCCAAGUUAUGAAGUAACAUUCAAGCAUUGUGCCUGAUGGACUCGUCAAAAAAAGUUUAAUUGCAACCAAGCUAGCCUCUCACUGAUCACACAGGAAGGAAGGGGGAAAUAAACUGUAUUCAGAGAGUGAGACAGGAUGUCACAGUUACAAGGGUAACCCCUCAGAUGAUAUGGAGAGAUCUAUACAGUAUGGAUAAUAACAUUAAAUCAGCUGUUUUUUUGUUCAGAAUCACUUUCCAGAAUUGUACAAUCAGCAAUGGAAAACAUGAGCAGGAUUAAGUGUCAUAGUAAAGCUUUCUGAAACCACAACAAAUGAAUGUGCGGUGCUGUGAAGUAAUUCGGGACCCAAACCAUCCAGCCAAGAGACAAGGGGGAACAUGGGAUUUAACAGUGAGAUGUUCCACUGCCAGCAUCCAA